rnacentral:rRNA from 1 species
CCUACGGGUGGCAGCAGUGAGGAAUAUUGGUCAAUGGGCGCGAGCCUGAACCAGCCAAGUAGCGUGAAGGAUGACUGCCCUACGGGUUGUAAACUUCUUUUAUAAAGGAAUAAAGUGAGGCACGUGUGCCUUUUUGUAUGUACUUUAUGAAUAAGGAUCGGCUAACUCCGUGCCAGCAGCCGCGGUAAUACGGAGGAUCCGAGCGUUAUCCGGAUUUAUUGGGUUUAAAGGGAGCGUAGAUGGGUUGUUAAGUCAGUUGUGAAAGUUUGCGGCUCAACCGUAAAAUUGCAAUUGAUACUGGCAGCCUUGAGUACAGUUGAGGUAGGCGGAAUUCGUGGUGUAGCGGUGAAAUGCGUAGAUAUAUGGAAGAACACCAAUGGCGAAAGCAGCUCUCUGAUCUGUAACUGACGCUGAGGUUCGAAAGCGUGGGUAGCAAACAGGAUUAGAUACCCUUGUAGUC